UCGAGUACAGCUCGCGUCUUUAAAGGCUCGUCGUAUUUACAGUCAAGAGUGGGCUGAGUCAACGAGUUUGUCAAGAGCUUCGAGAGGAAGUCCCGGGGCAACGCCGCUUUAAGAUUUUACCUUUGAGCCAUCAAGGAUGUCAUUACCUAAUCAGAAAUGACAUUAAUUGGCCACCUUUUUUGACUUUGUUUCUGUUUUGAUUCGUCAAAUCCAUUUUUAAACAAGUGGGCGUGGAGGAGGUUCCCACCCAGCUCGAACAUGUUUGCAAACCGCUCAGAGGACUCGACAUCGGCGACGUGUUGUUGCGAUGUGGAAAGCCCCAGCCCGGCCCCGUGGAAUAUGUCGCAGCCCCGGGAGGCUGUAAGCGGAUCUAUUUCAACGGCGCAAACGUGCAGAGAUGCGUAAAACAAGACCCCGAGGCUCAACAAGUAUCUCCACUUCUCGACGUCAUUUGAUGAAAACGGCACCUCAGAACCUGCCCUGGUUCAGAGGAGCAUCAAGCAGGAGAAGAUUUGGGCAAAAAACAUGUCACAAGUGUGAUAUGAAGACACACGACAAGAAAAUUAAAGCACAAUGGCUCAGCAAGAUCACCCAGGCCGGCCGGAUAAGUAGCGGACAAAAAAAGCGUGAGUAGAAGGAGGGGCAAAAAACAAGAAAGAGAAAA